rnacentral:rRNA from 1 species
GACGAACGCUGGCGGCGUGCUUAACACAUGCAAGUCGAGCGAUGAAGCACCUUCGGGUGUGAAUUAGCGGCGAACGGGUGAGGAACACGUGAGAAAUCUGCCUUCAACACUGGGAUAACUCCGGGAAACCGGGGCUAAUACCGGAUAUGAAACCUGCGGGCAUCCGCGGGUUUGGAAAGUUUUUCGGUUGAAGAUGAUCUCGCGGCCUAUCAGCUUGUUGGUGAGGUAAUGGCUCACCAAGGCGACGACGGGUAGCCGGCCUGAGAGGGCGACCGGCCACACUGGGACUGAGACACGGCCCAGACUCCUACGGGAGGCAGCAGUGGGGAAUAUUGGGCAAUGGAGGAAACUCUGACCCAGCGACGCCGCGUGCGGGAUGAAGGCCUUCGGGUUGUAAACCGCUUUCAGCAGGGAAGAAGCGAAAGUGACGGUACCUGCAGAAGAAGCACCGGCUAACUAUGUGCCAGCAGCCGCGGUAAUACAUAGGGUGCAAGCGUUGUCCGGAAUUAUUGGGCGUAAAGAGCUCGUAGGUGGUUCGUCACGUCGGAUGUGAAACUCUGGGGCUUAACCCCAGACCUGCAUUCGAUACGGGCGAGCUUGAGUAUGGUAGGGGAGUCUGGAAUUCCUGGUGUAGCGGUGGAAUGCGCAGAUAUCAGGAGGAACACCAAUGGCGAAGGCAGGACUC